UCCUGCUGCUGCUGCUGCUGCUGCUGCUGCAGCAGCAGCAGCAGGAGAGGAGACACCGUCUAUCCGUAGUGCAGCACAUAAAUCAGGAGAAGAGCAAAGACGGUAACGAU
rnacentral:snoRNA from 1 species